rnacentral:rRNA from 1 species
GUCUCAGUUCAGAUUGCAGGCUGCAACCCGCCUGCAUGAAGUCGGAAUUGCUAGUAAUCGCGGAUCAGCAUGCCGCGGUGAAUACGUUCCCGGGCCUUGUACACACCGCCCGUCACACCAUGGGAGCCGGUAAUACCCGAAGUCAGUAGUCCAACCUCGUGAGGACGCUGCCGAAGGUAGGAUUGGCGACUGGGGUGAAGUCGUAACAAGGUAGC